rfam:Camponotus floridanus CamFlo_1.0_1.contig4152, whole genome shotgun sequence.
AUAGCUCAGUGGUUUAGAGCAGUUGCCCGGCAAGCGAAAGACUCGGGUUCGAUUUCCGAU